rnacentral:rRNA from 1 species
GACGAACGCUGGCGGCGUGCUUAACACAUGCAAGUCGAGCGGUAAGGCCCCUUCGGGGGUACACGAGCGGCGAACGGGUGAGUAACACGUGAGCAAUCUGCCCAUCACAUCGGGAUAACUCCGGGAAACCGAAGCUAAUACCGAAUACGACCACUUCAGGCAUCUGACGGUGGUGGAAAGUUCCGGCGGUGAUGGAUGAGCUCGCGGCCUAUCAGCUAGUUGGUGGGGUAAAGGCCUACCAAGGCUUCGACGGGUAGCCGGCCUGAGAGGGUGACCGGCCACACUGGGACUGAGACACGGCCCAGACUCCUACGGGAGGCAGCAGUGGGGAAUAUUGCACAAUGGGCGGAAGCCUGAUGCAGCAACGCCGCGUGGGGGAUGACGGCCUUCGGGUUGUAAACCUCUUUUAGUAGGGAAGAAGCCUGAGAGUGACGGUACCUGCAGAAAAAGCACCGGCUAACUACGUGCCAGCAGCCGCCGUAAAAC